UACGGGGGGAGCAAGCGUUGUUCGGAUUUACUGGGCGUAAAGGGCGCGUAGGCGGCGUGACAAGUCACUUGUGAAAUCUCCGGGCUUAACUCGGAACGGUCAAGUGAUACUGUCGUGCUAGAGUACAGAAGGGGCAACUGGAAUUCUCGGUGUAGCGGUGAAAUGCGUAGAUAUCGAGAGGAACACCUGCGGCGAAGGCGGCAUCCUGGACCAACACUGACACUGAGGAGCGAAAGCCAGGGGAGCAAACGGG
rnacentral:rRNA from 1 species